rnacentral:rRNA from 1 species
GAUGCCGCGUGAGUGAAGAAGGCUUUGGGUUGUAAAGCUCUUUUGUAGGGGAAGAUAAUGACUGUACCCUAAGAAUAAGGUCCGGCUAACUUCGUGCCAGCAGCCGCGGUAAUACGAAGGGACCUAGCGUAGUUCGGAAUUACUGGGCGUAAAGCGCGCGUAGGCCGUUGAGUUAGUUAAUUGUGAAAUCCCAAAGCUUAACUUUGGAACUGCAAUUAAAACUGCUCGACUAGAGUUUGAUAGAGGAAAGCGGAAUACAUAGUGUAGAGGUGAAAUUCGUAGAUAUUAUGUAGAACACCAGUUGCGAAGGCGGCCUUCUGGGUCAACACUGACGCUGAGGCGCGAAAGUAUGGGUAGCAAAGAGGAUUAGAUACCCUCGUAGUCCAUACCAUAAACGAUGAUUGCUAGAUGUUGGAAAUUUAUUUUCAGUAUCGCAGCUAACGCAUUAAGCAAUCCGCCUGGGGAGUACGACCGCAAGGUUAAAACUCAAAUGAAUUGACGGGGACCCGCACAAGCGGUGGAGCAUGUGGUUUAAUUCGAAGAUACGCGCAGAACCUUACCAACCCUUGACCAUUGUCUGUCGCGAGUUUAGGAAACUAGAUUUUCGGUUCGGCCGGCCGAACACAGGUGCUGAUGGUUG